AGUGAACGCUGGCGGCGUGCCUAAUACAUGCAAGUCGAACGAAGUGGCGCACGGGUGCGUAAUAUAUAUUUAAUCUGCCCUACACAGAGGAACAACAGUUGGAAACGACUGCUAAUACCUCCUCGUGUAGGAUGAGCCUAUAUCGUAUCAGCUAGUUGGUACGGUAAUGGCUUACCAAGGCUAUGACGCGUACCUGGUCUGAGAGGAUGAUCAGUCACAUUGGAACUGAGACACGGUCCAAACGCCUACGGGAGGCAGCAGUAAGGAAUAGUGCGCAAUGGGGGAAACCCGGACGCAGCAACGGCGCGUGGAGGAUGACACUUGUCGGAGCGGAAACUCCUUUUAUCAGGAAAGCGGUACCGGAUGAAUAAGCACCGGCUAACUCCGUGCCAGCAGCCGCGGUAAUAC
rnacentral:rRNA from 1 species